CCGGCGCCGACUACCAGCUCACCAGGCUCCUCGGCCUCCGCCCCUCCGUCAACCGCCUCAUGAUGUACCAGCAGGGCUGCUUCGCGGGCGGCACCGUGCUCCGCCUCGCCAAGGACCUGGCCGAGAACAACCGCGGCGCGCGCGUCCUCGUGGUUUGCUCCGAGAUCACCGCCGUCACCUUCCGCGGGCCCUCGGAGUCCCACCUCGACAGCCUCGUCGGCCAGGCCUUGUUCGGGGACGGCGCUGCUGCCAUCAUCGUGGGGGCCGACCCGGACCCCGCGAUCGAGCGGCCCCUGUUCCAGAUCGUCUCCGCCAGCCAGAC
rnacentral:lncRNA from 1 species